rnacentral:rRNA from 1 species
UACAGAGGGUGCGAGCGUUGUUCGGAAUUACUGGGCGUAAAGGGCGCGUAGGCGGCUUGGCAAGUGGAUGGUGAAAUCCCUCGGCUUAACCGAGGAACUGCCAUCCAGACUGCUUUGCUUGAGGCCGGGAGAGGUGAGUGGAAUUCCCAGUGUAGCGGUGAAAUGCGUAGAUAUUGGGAGGAACACCAGUGGCGAAGGCGGCUCACUGGACCGGUUCUGACGCUGAUGCGCGAAAGCGUGGGGAGCAAACGGG